rnacentral:lncRNA from 10 species
GUUGGAGGCUGAUGGCCUAGCCCAUUGCCCCAUGCCUAGUCUCAUAGAACCUGGGUGGGACAGUGAGCUCUGGUCUCUUCCAGCAUGCCAGGGAGAAGUGGAGACCCUUGGACUGGAAGUGCUGGCCCCUCCUCACUCAGCCCCUUUCCAAGUACCUCAUUGCCAAGCACAGUGUGGGGAACUGAGGAUUCGGGGAAAAUAGCACAUGGCACCACCUGCUCAGGUCCACCCUAAUAACAUCAGCCAAGGCCUCUACAGCAGCCCCCAAGCUGCCUCUGGAUAGUUCAGACAAGGCCUCUGUGCUGUGAUGGAACCAGGUGACCCGCAGCCUCCGGGCCAGGUUGAAAUGACCAGUGAAGCCAUCUGGGCCUGGAGUUUUAUUUAUUGGAAUGUUUCAAACUAUCUGUAACAGACAAAGGACCUACUUUUUCUUGGCUACAGCCUAAGGAAGAAACCCUGCUAUGGGACUGUGGC